rnacentral:sRNA from 1 species
AAAUCUGGUCGACGCCGAAAUUCUCGUAAUGGAAGGGAUAACCGGCGAUGCCGCAAUAUUCGUGCAGCAUGCCGGCGAGCAUCUGGAUCAGGAUCGUCUUGCCAGUGCCCGGCAUGCCGUCGCCGA